AGUCCACAAAAGCAGAUUUCACGCUGGGGCUGGCCUAUCUGUAUUCGCUUAUUCACACGUUAUGGCCGUAAUCAGCAUAAAAUAUUGCCUGACUGAAGACUAAUACUUGGAAGGUCUAUCUAAACUGUCUGUGCGUGUGUGUGGUCAAAAUUACCGUAGCACAUUGCCACUCAAAUGUUAGAUAGCCCGAUUAGAAGCAUAUAGUAGUCGCUCAAUGAGUCCAUGUCAAGACCCAGUGCCAGUAGACGAGACAAGUUGUCAAGGCAAGUUGUGUUGUUUGCGAUCCGGUCGCAUACAAUAUGAAGAAUCCGUUGUGGUUCCUAUUUUGGCUGAUCGUGUUGAUGUUCGUAUCGUUUAUUGUGGCGCUUCUUGGCGCAUUUUUUUACAUUUGGACCUAUUUGUUGGCCCAAUGCAGCAGCUGUUUUCGGAGUGUUGCCGAGUUCUUUUUGAAGUGCCUUCAGUUUCCAGGCUAUUGUGCGGCCGCCAUGUUGAAUUGCCAAUCGUUGUGUUAGGCACAUUAAUCGACUUUCGCUGACAUCGAUAAAUCACAGCACAGACAAUCGAAGUGUGUUCGCGCUAGAGAUUGUGUUUUUCUUACGCGGCUGGGCACACUUAACGCCCACAAUAAGUGCAAGGCAAUCAGCUUGCUGUCAGAAAGAUUAGCCUUUCAGAUAAGUAAAAAUUGGCGUUACCAUAAUAUAGGGUACACACACACGAUACACUCACAAUAACUUUGUGCACGUGUGUGUAUGCAU